rnacentral:rRNA from 1 species
GACGAACGCUGGCGGCGUGCUUAACACAUGCAAGUCGAACGGAAAGGCCCUUCUUUUGGUGGUUGCUCGAGGGGCGAACGGGUGAGUAACACGUGAGUAGCCUUCCCUUUACUUUGGGAUAACUUCAGGAAACUGUGGUAAAUACCGGGUAUCAGCGCCGGCUGCAUGGUGGGGGAAGGCAUCGGCGGUUGGGGGUGGACUCACGGCUUAUUAGCUUGUUGGUGGGGUGGUGGUUUACCAAGGCUUUGUCGGGUAGCUGGCCUGCGAGGGCGGCCGGCCAGAUUGGGACUGAGAUCCGGCCCAGACUCCUACGGGAGGCAGAAGGGGGGAAUAUUGCACAAUGGGCGGAAGCCUGAUGCAGCAACGCCGCGUGCGGGAUGACGGCCUUCGGGUUGUAAACCGCUUUCGCCUGUGACGAAGCGGGAGUGACGGUAAUGGGUAAAGAAGCACCGGCUAACUACGUG